GUGCAGCAGGCGAGAAACCUUCGCAAUGCAGGAAACUGCGACGAGGGAACUCCAAGUGCCUACGCUCAGCGUAGGCUGUUCUCAAGCCUAGAAAGCUUGAGGAGUAAGGGCUGGGUAAGACGGGUGCCAUCUGUGGUAGCAGUCAAUAGAUUCGAUUUGUACUGCAAGGCAUAAGCCGCCGCGGUAAUACCCGCAGCCAAGUGGUGGCCGCUUUUAUUGGGCCUAAAGCGUCCGUAGCCGGCCCGGUAAAUGCCUGGGUAAAUCGUGGAGCCCCAACUUCACGAAUUCCGGGUAGACUGCCGAGCUCGGGACCGGAAGAGGGAGAGGGUACUUCAGGGGUAGGGUGAAAAUUUCCUUUCCAUUAACGCUUUGCGCGAAGCGGAAAGGGUUAUCACAA
rnacentral:rRNA from 1 species